rnacentral:lncRNA from 1 species
GUUGAGUUUAUUUGAAUAUCUAAAGGGUAAACUCCAGGCUACAUAUCUGAAGACAAAUAUUCUCUGAGAUUUGCACAGUAAAGAGGUGGAAUGAUUAUGAGUUGAAGAAGAUGAGAAGAGCUGGUGGCCUUAAAAACCCCACCUGUCCUGUCAUUGGUGAUGCAUGGUCUUCCAGCAAACUCACUAAGUAGUUCUCUGCUUGCCCCAAAGAAAAUGGACAUUCUGAAAUUACAAAGAGUCAGUCUGGAACACAGCUUUUUAUAUAAAAGAUACAGCAUACAGAUUGAAGACAUGACUAGUCCCUGA